GAAAGAAAAGUACACAAGAAAAGAAUGAUAGAUACACCUUCAUUAAAAUCAUAAUAAAAUUUAUAAAAUUUAUAACAAACAUAAAAAGUGGUAGUAUCUGCGCGCCAAUUUCAAAUUAAAGGUAAAAGGAUAGCAGGUUAAAAUUUUUCCGUUCAUAAAAUACGAAUUUAUUAAUUAACUAAGGUUCCAACUCCCUCUGGCAAAGAUGACCUUAGAUGAAUUUGUCUAUUCUGUUUCGGUCCUUUCCGAUUGUAUAGCUUCUAAUGUUUCCUUUAAAGUGUUAAGGUUUGUCUAUUCUGUUUCGGUCCUUUCCGACUAUAUAGCUUCUAAGGUUUCCUUUAAAAUGUUAAGGUUUGUCUAUUCUGUGUCGGUCCUUUCCGACUAUAUAGCUUCUAAUGUUUCCUUUAAAGUGUUAAGGUUUGUCUAUUCUGUUUCGGUCCUUUCCGAUUAUAUAGCUUCUAAUGUUUCCUUUAAAGUGUUAAGGUUUGUCUAUUCUGUUUAGGUCCUUUCCGAUUAUAUAGCUUCUAAUGUUUCCUUUAAAAUGUUAAGGUUUGUCUAUUCUGUUUAGGUCCUUUCCGAUUAUAUAGCUUCUAAUGUUGGCUUUAAAAUGUUAAGGUUUGUCUGUUCUGUUUAGGUCCUUUCCGAUUAAAUAGCUUCUAAUGUUGGCUUUAAAAUGUUAAGGUUUGUCUGUUCUGUUUAGGUCCUUUCCGAUUAUAUAGCUUCUAAUGUUGGCUUUAAAAUGUUAAGGUUUGUCUAUUCUGUUUCGGUCCUUUCCGAUUAUAUAGCUUCUAAUGUUGGCUUUAAAGUGUUAAGGUUUGUCUAUUCUGUUUAGGUCCUUUCCGAUUAUAUAGCUUCUAAUGUUGGCUUUAAAAUGUUAAGGUUUUUCUAUUCUGUUUAGGUCCUUUCCGAUUAUAUAGCUUCUAAUGUUGGCUUUAAAGUGUUAAGGUUUGUCUGUUCUGUUUAGGUCCUUUCCGAUUAUAUAGCUUCUAAUGUUGGCUUUAAAGUGUUAAGGUUUGUCAAUUCUGUUAAGGUCCUUUCCGAUUAUA